UCGGGCCCCGCACGAUCCGGGCAGCGCGCAGCCGCUGCUGCGCAUGCGUGCUCCAGGCCCGCCACGCCCCCACGCCGCCCCAGCCGCAGGGAAAGUACCUGGUCAGCUUAACGGCCUGUGCCCCACUUUCUCCUCUCGGAAAAUGUAAACCAGGACUGAUGCCCGCUCCUGGGCGCCCGCGGGUUUUGUGCCAAAUAAACCGCUGCAGCAAAAGGA